CAGAAAAAGAAAACAAAAGAGCCGAAGCUCUAAUCAAGUUGUAGCUUUGAGUUGGUGAAAUAAAAAGUGUGUGUUUGUUUGUUAUACAGCCUAUACAUAUUAAUAUUGCGUGUGUUUAAAUACUUAUAUGGUCCAUUUCGUUUCCAACAGAAUUGAAGUUUGCUAAACAAUGAAGAAAAUGCUUCAAAACUAGGGGGGUUUUUAUGAGUAUACAAUUGUUUACCAAGUACAGUGAAGCCAGGGGUACCCAUUAGCUCUAAGCAGUACAUGUUAUAACAUAUAAAACAAAGGCAAAAAGUUCUGCUCUCCUGCUGCCAAGAAGGCCGAUGUUGUUGACGUGGAGGCGUGAGAGUCGUUGGAUGUGAUCUGUUCUGCUAGUUUUUACUGUUUUAGUUUAAUGUGGUUAAUGGGAUGCAGGUCUAGGCUAGUAGUAGUCUAGUCAUAAAAGUUCAGUAUUUUGGGUGUUUAGAUGGAUGGUUAAAUUUGAACUUGAUAGACAGCUUUGUAUACAACCCUCUAGACAGGAAGUUGCUUUCUAUAUUAUAUCUACAGCCCGGUGAUGUAUGCUUCUGUUCUUGCGGCUAAUCCUACAAAACACAAUCAGUUUGCUCUCGGGCUUAGUGAUGGUGGCGUACUUGUUAAAAAACUUCGGAGGAUAUUGGAAAUGGCUAUGUAGCAUGCCAUAGCUUGAGACCAGCAACAAAUGAAAACUUGAUAUGAGCUUUUGUGAUAAUCAGAGCCGGGUGUCUCUUAGAAUCUGAAUGUUUUAGCACAUACAUGUACAGAUUGGAUUAGUGCAAGGGUUUUAAAGAUGUUUUUCU